rnacentral:misc_RNA from 1 species
AACGCAUAUUGCGCUCUUUGGUAUUCCGAAGAGCAUGCUUGUUUGAGUAUCAGUAAACACCUCAAAUCUUUUUUUUUUUUUUAAAAAAAAAGUUUUGGACUUGAGCAAUCCCAACACCAAUCUUUUUUAGAUCGGUGGCGGGUUGCUUGAAAUGCAGGUGCAGCUGGACAUUCUCCUGAGCUAAAAGCAUAUUUAUUUAGUCCCGUCAAACGGAUUAUUACUUUUGCUGCAGCUAAUAUAAAGGGAGUUUGACCGUAUUGGCUGACUGAUGCAGGAUUUCACAAGGGUCGGCAACGAUUCUUGUAAAACUCGAUCUCAAAUCAAGUAAGACUACCCGCUGAACUUAA